CUUGCUCCUCUGACGUUAGCGGCGGACGGGUGAGUAACACGUGGAUAACCUACCUAUAAGACUGGGAUAACUUCGGGAAACCGGAGCUAAUACCGGAUAAUAUAUUGAACCGCAUGGUUCAAUAGUGAAAGACGGUUUUGCUGUCACUUAUAGAUGGAUCCGCGCCGCAUUAGCUAGUUGGUAAGGUAACGGCUUACCAAGGCAACGAUGCGUAGCCGACCUGAGAGGGUGAUCGGCCACACUGGAACUGAGACACGGUCCAGACUCCUACGGGAGGCAGCAGUAGGGAAUCUUCCGCAAUGGGCGAAAGCCUGACGGAGCAACGCCGCGUGAGUGAUGAAGGUCUUCGGAUCGUAAAACUCUGUUAUUAGGGAAGAACAAAUGUGUAAGUAACUAUGCACGUCUUGACGGUACCUAAUCAGAAAGCCACGGCUAACUACGUGCCAGCAGCCGCGGUAAUACGUAGGUGGCAAGCGUUAUCCGGAAUUAUUGGGCGUAAAGCGCGCGUAGGCGGUUUUUUAAGUCUGAUGUGAAAGCCCACGGCUCAACCGUGGAGGGUCAUUGGAAACUGGAAAACUUGAGUGCAGAAGA
rnacentral:rRNA from 1 species